rnacentral:rRNA from 1 species
GUGGGGAAUAUUGGACAAUGGGCGAAAGCCUGAUCCAGCAAUGCCGCGUGAGUGAUGAAGGCCUUAGGGUUGUAAAGCUCUUUUACCCGGGAAGAUAAUGACUGUACCGGGAGAAUAAGCCCCGGCUAACUCCGUGCCAGCAGCCGCGGUAAUACGGAGGGGGCUAGCGUUGUUCGGAAUUACUGGGCGUAAAGCGCACGUAGGCGGCUUUGUAAGUUAGAGGUGAAAGCCCGGAGCUCAACUCCGGAAUUGCCUUUAAGACUGCAUCGCUAGAAUUGUGGAGAGGUGAGUGGAAUUCCGAGUGUAGAGGUGAAAUUCGUAGAUAUUCGGAAGAACACCAGUGGCGAAGGCGACUCACUGGACACAUAUUGACGCUGAGGUGCGAAAGCGUGGGGAGCAAACAGGAUUAGAAACCCCAGUAGUCC